ACUCCUACGGGAGGCAGCAGUGGGGAAUAUUGCACAAUGGGCGCAAGCCUGAUGCAGCCAUGCCGCGUGUAUGAAGAAGGCCUUCGGGUUGUAAAGUACUUUCAGCAGUGAGGAAGGUGGUAGUGUUAAUAGCACUAUCAUUUGACGUUAGCUGCAGAAGAAGCACCGGCUAACUCCGUGCCAGCAGCCGCGGUAAUACGGAGGGUGCGAGCGUUAAUCGGAAUUACUGGGCGUAAAGCGCAUGCAGGUGGUUUGUUAAGUCAGAUGUGAAAGCCCGGGGACUCAACCUCGGAAUUGCAUUUGAAACUGGCAGACUAGAGUACUGUAGAGGGGGGUAGAAUUUCAGGUGUAGCGGUAGAAAUGCGUAGAGAUCUAGAAGGAAUACCGGUGGCGAAGGCGGACCCCCUGGACAGAUACUGACACUCAGAUGCGAAAGCGUGGGGAA
rnacentral:rRNA from 1 species